AUUGAACGCUGGCGGCAGGCCUAACACAUGCAAGUCGAGCGAGCGGCGGACGGGUGAGUAAUGUCUGGGUAACUGCCUGAUGGAGGGGGAUCACUACUGGACACGGUCGCUAAUACCGCAUACUAUCAGAAGUGCCCAUAUGGGAUUAGCUGGUAGGUGGGGUAAGGGCUCACCUAGGCGACGCUCCCUAGCUGGUCUGAGAGGAUGACCAGCCACACGGGAACUGAGACACGGCCCAGACUCCUACGGGAGGCAGCAGUGGGGAAUAUUGCACAAUGGGCGCAAGCCUGAUGCAGCCAUGCCGCGUGUGUGAAGAAGGCCUUCGGGUUGUAAAGCACUUUCAGCGAGGAGGCGUUACUCGCAGAAGAAGCACCGGCUAACUCCGUGCCAGCAGCCGCGGUAAUUC
rnacentral:rRNA from 1 species